GGGCUGCCCCAUAAGUCCCCCCGCUGUGGGGCUGCCCCAUAAGUGCCCCAUAGGUCUGUUAGUUGUGGGGCUGCCCCAUAAGUGCCCCAUAGGUCUGUUAGUUAUGGGGCUGCCCCAUAGGGCCGCUGAUGCCCCCCGCCCCCCGCAGGGCCCCCCCCCCACUGCCGGAGCUGCAGCGCGAGCUGGAGGCGCUGACUCAGCAACUGGAGCGGCUGAGGGCGCAGGUGGGGGGCUGGGACCCACAAGUGGGGGGUGGGACCCACAAGUGUGGGUGGGGGGCUGUGGGACCCCUAUAUGUGGGUGGGGGGCUGUGGGACCCCCGGGUGUGGGGCUGGGGGACCCUGGGGUGUGGGGCUGGGGGACCCACAAGUUGGGGGUGGGACCCCCAUGUGUGGGUGUGGGGCUGUGGGACCCCCAAGUGUGGGGCUGGGACCCCCAACUAUGGGGUGGGACCCCCAAGUGUGGGGCUGGGACCCCCAAGUGUGGGUGUGGGGCUGUGGGACCCCUAUGAACGCCCCCAGUCCGUCUAUGGGGCCGCCCCCCAACCACCCCCCCUUCCGCCCCACAGCGCCCCCCGGCGGCGCCCCCCCCCGCACCGCCGCCCCCCCGCGUCACGGCGGCGCUGCUGGCGGCUUUCGGGGCCGCUGAG
rnacentral:lncRNA from 1 species